AUACGUAGGGUGCGAGCGUUGUCCGGAAUUACUGGGCGUAAAGAGCUCGUAGGUGGUUUGUCGCGUCGUCUGUGAAAUUCCGGGGCUUAACUCCGGGCGUGCAGGCGAUACGGGCAUAACUUGAGUACUGUAGGGGAGACUGGAAUUCCUGGUGUAGCGGUGAAAUGCGCAGAUAUCAGGAGGAACACCGGUGGCGAAGGGAGGUCCUAUGCACGUACCUGACUCUGGUGGUCGAAAGCUGUGGGAGCAAAAGUAAUUAUAUCCCCUGGUAGUCCACGCCGUAAACGGUGGCCGCUAGGUGUAGGGGUCUUCCACGACUUCUGUGCCUUAGCUAACGCAUUAAGCGCCCCGCCUGGGGAGUACGGCCGCAACGCUAACACUCAAAUAAAUUGGCGGGU
rnacentral:rRNA from 1 species